AUGUGGGUGAUCCUGAAACAAAGGCAGGCACCUUCAGAGAAGGAUGGAGGUAAUGUCUCUCUUGAUGAGGAUCACAGCGAGUCCCUCAGCAGCCAGCAUGUACCACCACACAAUUUGAUGAUGUACAGAAAGGACAACUGGCCUAGAACCUGUGAAUCAUCCUAGUUUUCCAGAGGAAAAAAUGUCGUCAUCAGCUCUUUCAUCUCAAAGUCUUAUCCUUGCUUGAGAUAGCACUAAGUCAAUAGGCAUUCCACAUUGC
rnacentral:lncRNA from 1 species